GACGAACGCUGGCGGCGUGCUUAACACAUGCAAGUCGAACGAUGAACCCGGAGCUUGCUCUGGGGGAUUAGUGCGAACGGGUGAGUAACACGUGAGUAACCUGCCCUGGACUCUGGGAUAAGCGUUGGAAACGACGUCUAAUACCGGAUAGGACCUUGGAUCGCAUGAUCUGGGGUGGAAAGUUUUUUCGGUCUGGGAUGGACUCGCGGCCUAUCAGCUUGUUGGUGAGGUAAUGGCUCACCAAGGCGUCGACGGGUAGCCGGCCUGAGAGGGUGACCGGCCACACUGGGACUGAGACACGGCCCAGACUCCUACGGGAGGCAGCAGUGGGGAAUAUUGCACAAUGGGCGAAAGCCUGAUGCAGCAACGCCGCGUGCGGGAUGACGGCCUUCGGGUUGUAAACCGCUUUUAGUAGGGAAGAAGGGCUUCGGCUUGACGGUACCUGCAGAAAAAGGACCGGCUAACUACGUG
rnacentral:rRNA from 1 species